rnacentral:sRNA from 1 species
AGCGCGUCCCGGCCUGAGCGGAGCUCUUUUUGUCUUGUCUCCUGAGACGAGACAAAAAAGCGGGAGCGGAGGACGGAUAAAGAC